rnacentral:rRNA from 1 species
GGUGAACGCUGGCGGCGUACUUAAGACAUGCAAGUCGAACGGCAGUCUUCGGACUGUAGUGGCGCACGGGUGAGUAACGCGUAACUGACCUACCCCAAAGUCGCGGAUAACGAUUCGAAAGAAUCGCUAAUACGUGAUGUGCUGUCAGAUUGUGUUCUGCCAGUAAAGAUUGAUUGCUUUGGGAUGGGGUUGCGUUCCAUCAGCUAGUUGGUGGGGUAAAGGCCCACCAAGGCGACGACGGAUAGCCGGCCUGAGAGGGUGGCCGGCCACAGGGGCACUGAGACACGGGUCCCACUCCUACGGGAGGCAGCAGUUAGGAAUCUUCCACAAUGGGCGAAAGCCUGAUGGAGCGACGCCGCGUGAGGGAUGAAGGUCUUCGGAUCGUAAACCUCUGAAUCAGGGACGAAAGACACUUCGGUGGGAUGACGGUACCUGAGUAAUAGCACCGGCUAACUCCGUGCCAGCCGCCGCCGUAA